ACAUAUUUUAGAGCCUAAUUCACUUUAAUUAAAAAUUAAAAUUACAUUCAAAUCCAAAUUCAAAAUCCUAAUGCUAAAAUUUCUCCUGAAAUAAAUUUAUUGUAAUCCAUUUCUUCUCAAAUAAGCUGCACCUUGAUCUGAUUUAUAAUAUAAUAAAAUAUUAUAAUUAUAUAUUUCUAAAAAUAAUUAACAACGACGAUAUACAAGCAAAAUUUAAGUUUUAUUAAUCGUGGAUUAUCGAUUAUAGAACAGAUUCCCCUGAUUGGAAUAAAAAACCGCCAAAUUUUUUGACUUUAAAGAACAUAACUAAUAUUCAUCAAGUCUUAUUAUAUCUACAUCUAGAAUAGUGGGGUAUCUAAUCCCAGUUUAAAAACCUAGAUUUCUCAACUUCAUAAACAAAAUAUUAGUUUAAUAGAAAAUAAGAUUUCACCCAAUAUUAACUAAAACAAAAAUUUAAUUUUUAUUAAUUAAGUAUAACUGUAUCAAAAUAGUAGUAUUAUUUGUUUAACCGCA
rnacentral:rRNA from 1 species